rnacentral:rRNA from 1 species
GAUGAACGCUGGCGGCGUGCCUAACACAUGCAAGUCGAGCGAUUUACUUCGGUAAAGAGCGGCGGACGGGUGAGUAACGCGUGGGUAACCUGCCCUGUACACACGGAUAACAUACCGAAAGGUAUGCUAAUACGAGAUAAUAUACUUUAUCUCAUGGUAGAAGUAUCAAAGCUCUGGCGGUACAGGAUGGACCCGCGUCUGAUUAGCUAGUUGGUAAGGUAACGGCUUACCAAGGCGACGAUCAGUAGCCGACCUGAGAGGGUGAUCGGCCACAUUGGAACUGAGACACGGUCCAAACUCCUACGGGAGGCAGCAGUGGGGAAUAUUGCACAAUGGGCGAAAGCCUGAUGCAGCAACGCCGCGUGAGCGAUGAAGGCCUUCGGGUCGUAAAGCUCUGUCCUCAAGGAGAUAAUGACGGUACGUUAGAGGAGGAAGACCCGGCGUAACUACGUGCCAGCAGCCGCGGUAA